AUGCAGAAAAACACCUCAGCGCAGGCACUAUGUUUGUAUCCUUGUAGAAUUGGACCUGUCUCAGACCUUGACUUACAAGAGAAGAAGAAUAAAAACAUACUAAUGAAUAAAUAUGGAUAUGCCGAUAAUGAUGAGUUAAUUUUAGUUCCAAGAGGUUUUAGUGAUAAAGAAUUGAAAGGGAAAACUCUCGUUGCGAAAAGAGGAACAAGUGUAGAGAAACUUAUCGAGAAAACUAUUAGAGAUUCAAGUUUUUGCAGCUCAAAGUCAGACAGGAGAGACAUCACUGAAUGA